rnacentral:rRNA from 1 species
UUAGAGUUUGAUCCUGGCUCAGGAUGAACGCUAGCGGCAGGCCUAAUACAUGCAAGUCGAACGAGAUUGAGGAGCUUGCUCCUCAUGAAAGUGGCGCACGGGUGCGUAACGCGUAUGCAAUCUACCUUAAUCAGGGGGAUAGCCCGGAGAAAUCCGGAUUAAUACCGCAUAAUGUUAUUUUAUAGCAUCAUAGAACAACCAAACAUUUAUGGGAUUAAGAUGAGCAUGCGUGACAUUAGUUAGUUGGUGAGGUAACGGCUCACCAAGACUACGAUGUCUAGGGGAUCUGAGAGGAUGACCCCCCACACUGGUACUGAGACACGGACCAGACUCCUACGGGAGGCAGCAGUAAGGAAUAUUGGUCAAUGGGCGCAAGCCUGAACCAGCCAUGCCGCGUGCAGGAAGACGGCCCUACGGGUUGUAAACUGCUUUUGUACCGGAAUAAACCCCCGAACGUGUUCGGGGUUGAAUGUACGGUAAGAAUAAGGAUCGGCUAACUCCGUGCCAGCAGCCGCGGUAAUACGGAGGAUCCAAGCGUUAUCCGGAUUUAUUGGGUUUAAAGGGUGCGUAGGCGGCUUAUUAAGUCAGGGGUGAAAGACGGUGGCUCAACCAUCGCAGUGCCUUUGAUACUGAUGAGCUUGAAUAAACUUGAGGUAGGCGGAAUGUGACAAGUAGCGGUGAAAUGCAUAGAUAUGUCACAGAACACCAAUUGCGAAGGGCAGCUUACUAAAGUUUAAUUGACGCUGAGGCACGAAAGGCGUGGGGGAUCAAACAGGAUUAGA